GGAAGUAAAAGUCGUAACAAGGUUUCCGUAGGUGAACCUGCGGAAGGA
rnacentral:rRNA from 1 species